UCCCUUGUAGCUCAGGUGGUAAAGCAUCUGCCUGCAAUGCAGAAGGCCCAGGUUUGACCCCUGGGUCAGGAA
rfam:Ovis aries breed Texel chromosome 2, whole genome shotgun sequence.